CCUACGGGGGGCAGCAGUGAGGAAUAUUGGUCAAUGGGCGGGAGCCUGAACCAGCCAAGUCGCGUGAGGGAAGACGGUCCUACGGAUUGUAAACCUCUUUUGCCGGGGAGCAACGGGGUCCUUGCGAGGGCCCAAUGAGAGUACCCGGAGAAAAAGCAUGGGCUAACUCCGUGCCAGCAGCCGCGGUAAUACGGAGGAUCCGAGCGUUAUCCGGAGUGAUGGGGUUUAAAGGGAUCGUAGAUGGGUUGUUAAGUAAGUUGGUAAAGUUUGAGGCUCAACCGUAGAAUUGCAAUUGAUACUGGUAGUGUUGAGUACAGUUGAGGUAGGCGGAAUGCGUGGUGUAGCGGUGAAAUGCUUAGAGAUCACGAAGAACUCCGAUUGCGAAGGCAGCUUACUAAACUGCCACUGACAUUGAUGCUCGAAAGUGUGGGGAUCAAACAGGAUUAGAUACCCUAGUAGUC
rnacentral:rRNA from 1 species